GGGGAUUUAGCUCAGUGGUAGAGCGCUUGCCUAGCAAGAGCAAGGCCCUAGCAAGACCCUGGGUUCGGUCCCCAGCUCCG
rnacentral:tRNA from 1 species